AGAUGCGAGAGUAGAGCAUAUCAAUAAGCGGAGGAAAAGAAACUAACUAGGAUUCCCUUAGUAACGGCGAGUGAAGCGGGAAGAGCUCAAAUUUGAAAUCUUCAAGGUUCUACCUUGACGAAUUGUAGUUUAAAGAAGUGUUUUCUGUUGGAGUUUUGGUAAAAGUUCUUUGGAAUAGGACAUCAUAGAGGGUGAGAAUCCCGUAUCUGACCAUUUCUUCCAGCUGUGUGAUACACUUUCAAAGAGUCGGAUUGUUUGGGAAUGCAGUCCAAAAUGGGUGGUAAAUUUCAUCUAAAGCUAAAUAUUGGCGAGAGACCGAUAGCGAACAAGUACCGUGAGGGAAAGAUGAAAGAACUUUGAAAAGAGAGUUAAACAGUACGUGAAAUUGUCAAAAGGGAAGCGUUUGACACCAGUGUUGUUUUCUCGAAAAUCAAUUAAAAAUGGACCUGAUUUUGUGUUGUAUUGACCUUUAUCAAGCUUUCUGCACUUUUUUCAUUGUCUUUUUUAAUGCACUUUUCGUUUAACAAGUCAACAUCAGUUUCUUUUGUUGUAAAAGGGUCAUUGGAAGGUGGCUUUCAUUUCGGUAGAAAGUGUUUAUAGCCUUUGACUUCUGCAAUCGGAGAGAUUGAGGUCUGCAGCGUAGAUCCUUCGGGGUUAGAUACAUUUGUGCUAAGUUAUAGCUUUUCAUAGACAACAUGUUGACUAUGAUUAAGUCAUGUAGCUUACUCGCUUAUGUCUAUUUUACCUACGCUUAGGAUGUUGACGAGACUGUCGAUCUC
rnacentral:rRNA from 1 species